rnacentral:rRNA from 1 species
UGCGUAGGCGGUCGGAUAAGUUUGAUGUGAAAUCUCCGGGCUUAACCCGGAAACUGCAUUGAAUACUAUUCGGCUUGAGGUCUGGAGGGGGGACUGGAAUUCUCGGUGUAGCAGUGAAAUGCGUAGAUAUCGAGAGGAACACCAGUGGCGAAGGCGAGUCCCUGGACAGGUCCUGACGCUGAGGCACGAAAGCUAGGGAGCAAACA